rnacentral:rRNA from 1 species
AAAACAUCGCCUCUUGGAAAACAUAAGAGGUCCAGCCUGCCCAGUGACACUGUUCAACGGCCGCGGUAUCCUAACCGUGCGAAGGUAGCGUAAUCACUUGUCCUUUAAAUGAGGACUAGUAUGAAUGGCACCACGAGGGUUAUACUGUCUCCUUUCUCUAAUCAGUGAAACUAAUCUCCCCGUGAAGAAGCGAGGAUAUUUCUAUAAGACGAGAAGACCCUAUGGAGCUUUAAACAAAACAACAUCUGCUACUUUCACUUACCGAUUUCAGAAAAUUAACUCUUAUUUUAGCAUUCUACUUGUUAGUUUUAGGUUGGGGUGACCGCGGAGCAAAAAAUAACCUCCACAUUGAAAGGGACUUCCCCUAAGCAAAAAACCACAACUUUAUGCAUCAAUAAAUUGACAUUAAUUGACCCAAUAUUUUGAUCAACGAAACAAGUUACCCUAGGGAUAACAGCGCAAUCCACUUUGAGAGUCCAUAUCGACAAGUGGGUUUACGACCUCGAUGUUGGAUCAGGGUACCCCAGUGGUGCAGCCGCUACUAAAGGUUCGUUUGUUCAACGAUUAAAACCCUA